rnacentral:rRNA from 1 species
UACGGAGGAUGCAAGCGUUAUCCGGAAUGAUUGGGCGUAAAGCGUCCGCAGGUGGCUGUGUAAGUCUGCUGUUAAAGAGUCUAGCUCAACUAGAUACAAGCAGCGGAAACUACACGGCUAGAGUACGUUCGGGGCAGAGGGAAUUCCUGGUGUAGCGGUGAAAUGCGUAGAGAUCAGGAAGAACACCGGUGGCGAAGGCGCUCUGCUAGGCCGUAACUGACACUGAGGGACGAAAGCUAGGGGAGCGAAUGGG